GCUGGACUGCAGUAUCCUUCUACCAUCCACUAACUUGCAUGUGAAAUUACUUCAGAUGAGCUCACCCAGGGCUCACCAGAGAUAGAAGACCUAUAUGAUCUCUACCUGCCAUGAGUCAGAGGGGUGGUUCUCAACAGGACGUGCUCUUGACCCCAGGGAACACUUGGGUGCUGUGUGGCCGCUGUGGUGGGGCACAUGGGAGACGGGAACGGAGUCCAAACACCUUUCUGCCUGUGAUGGACUUGCCGGUGUAUGGCCUGCAGAAUCAGGGAGCCUGUGUACUUUUCAACACAGAGCCAUUAAGGCUCUGAAUCUCAUGGAGGACUUUGAUCACACUCCUGACACCGUGUGGAAGGAUGCCUGCCGAUACCAUUAUGCCUGCUUUUCUGGCUGGCACUGUUAUUGAUUCUUGCCAGCAGGAGCUACAGCAGGCUCGGGAUGUUGCUUUAGGAAGCAAAACUUCAUGUGAUGUUUGGUUAUUAAGAACCACUGCUGUGUGGGUCACCUGUGCUGGGCUUGGCUACUUCGUCCCUCUGAAGACAUCACGGUGGAGUACAUAUUUUAUUUUGAUAACCCUUGAACAUCCAGUGAGAUGGCCAAGUUCAUUGAUAGCUUAAAAUGUUAUUUUUCAAAAAUCCCCAAGUGGUGUCAUAAGCACUACAUUAAAAAAUGAGAACACUUCUGAAAGGGUUGCACUUAAUACGGUCUCUCUGUGUGACAUUUUUUGCCAACUAGGCUUGAAUAAAUGG
rnacentral:lncRNA from 1 species